UACAGAGGGUGCGAGCGUUGUUCGGAAUUAUUGGGCGUAAAGAGCGUGUAGGCGGCCCGAUAAGUCCGCUGUGAAAGUCCAGGGCUCAACCCUGGGAUGCCGGUGGAUACUGUCGGGCUCGAGUCCGGAAGAGGCGAGUGGAAUUCCUGGUGUAGCGGUGAAAUGCGCAGAUAUCAGGAGGAACACCAAUGGCGAAGGCAGCUCGCUGGGACGUGACUGACACUGAGACGCGAAAGCGUGGGGAGCAAACAGG
rnacentral:rRNA from 1 species